GUGGGGAAUAUUGGACAAUGGGCGCAAGCCUGAUCCAGCCAUGCCGCGUGAGUGAUGAAGGCCUUCGGGUUGUAAAGUUCUUUAGCCGAUGAUUAUAAUGACUGUAGUCGGAAAAUAAGCCCCGGCUAACUUCGUGCCAGCAGCCGCGGUAAUACGAAGGGGGCGAGCGUUAUUCGGAAUCACUGGGCGUAAAGCGUGCGUAGGCGGUCUCGUAAGUUAGGAGUGAAAGCCCAGGGCUCAACCUUGGAAUUGCUCUUAAAACUGCAAGGCUAGAAUCUCGGAGAGGAUAGCGGAAUUUCCAGUGUAGCAGUGAAAUGCGUAGAUAUUGGAAGGAACACCAGUGGCGUAAGCGGCUAUCUGGACGAGUAUUGACGCUGAGGCACGAAAGCGUGGGGAUCAAACAGGAUUAGAUACCCGGGUAGUCC
rnacentral:rRNA from 1 species